rnacentral:lncRNA from 1 species
CCAGAAUAUCAGGCCCUGAUCUCUGGUGGUGUAGGGCUUAUAUGGGAUAAGCAAGCGGGAAGUGCAGAGGCAGAAUGGCCUGUCAGUUGGGGAUUGGUUCUUACAGUAUGCACCACAGCGACCAGCCGUUUCUAGGAGACAGGAGCACCUAGAACUGGAACAGGAAUGUGCACAACUGAAGUACCCUGGUUGAACUUGAAUCAGAGUCCAAGGAAGGAGGCCCUGGCAUUGUGAGAUGAUGGGCAGAUUUGGACACUGGAUGUGGUCAGGGGAGCAAUAACCAGUGAAGAAAAGACCCAGGCCCCUGGAUGGAUGGAAGAGGAGUGCUCCCAGCAGGCAGAUGUGAGAAGAGGGGAACCAAGCAACCAUCCAUGGAGAAUGACCCAUGUUUCCAAGACUCUGGCAGACACCUGGAGCAGAGUCCUGGCCGUGCAAGGGCUCAUGACCGUGUGUGUGGAUUGGUGUGGGACCCAGGCCCACCAAGCGGCACCUAAGCACCGAGGAGCUGCACAGUGCCAGGCUUUUCUCAAUUGUCCCACUCUAUAGGGCAAUGCACAGGGGCCUUACGGACUAGAACUGCACUGGGGGGAAUUCUUGGCUAUUAGUGUGGUCUUCAGGUUUCCUCCUGAGGUGGGGCAUGGGGAAGCCCUAGAAGGACAACAGCUGCCUAUGGUCUGAGCUGGAGUGGUGGGGAUGGAGUACUCCCCAGUAAAACACUGAAAACAGCUGGGAAGCCCCAGCAGAGUACUCUUCAGCGGGAAAUUCACAGCCCCACUUGUCUAUGAAAACACAAAAUCUCUCUGCCUCCAGGUUGAGUAACUCUGUACCAGGGGUGUGCUGAAGGGCUUGGGAGAAAUACCUCUCUAGGUGUCUCAGAAAAAGCAGAUUCUCUGAGAAGGUAGUGAUAGACUCUAAGUUGUGGCCAAGUUAAUUUCCAGGGAGUUAACAUUUUCCCCUUACAGUUAUUUUUGUGUACUUAUGUGACUAUGUGUUCUAGCUUUUGCACCUUUUCCACUGGGUUAAUGAUUAUCUGCCUCAAACUCUCUUUAUCUUGAAAAUUAAUUUUAAAAGUAGCCAUUAAUUUAAGUGCCUAUAUUUACACCCUGACAGUAUCCCUGAAUUAAACAUUUACCUAUCACCAUAGUAAACAUUAACAG